rnacentral:lncRNA from 1 species
AAUCAUACUUACUUUCUAAGAUCAAAUAUCGAUUUAGCCUAGAAGGAAACUUUCUCAUUCUCGCCCUUAUGUCAUACAUAAAAUUAGGGAUAUACCUAUCAGACCUUAAAUUCUAUUGGGGUGGAUUGGCUCCCGUAAUCGAAGAGGCCCAGGAGAACCAAAUCAUAACCUUAUACUUUCCAUGCAUACCUCUAUGAUGACCCAAAAUUUGGACAGCAUCAUGUUGCAUAUAAUAGAAAAUAAUCACCUGUAUAAGCUCG